UACCACAUUCGAAUCCAUCUCAGUAGGAGGGU
rnacentral:piRNA from 1 species